rnacentral:misc_RNA from 1 species
GAUGAAGAACGUAGCGAAAUGCGAUACGUAAUGUGAAUUGCAGAUCUCUCAGUGAACCAUCGAAUUUUUGAACGCACAUAGCGCCCGCCGGUCAUUCCGGCGGGCAUGCCUGUCCGAGCGUCGAUGACGCCGCUCGAGCCCCCGUGCUCGGUGUUGGGGCGCUAGGUCUCCCAGAGGCCUAGGCCCCCAAGUAGCAGUGCGCGGUCCGGCUGCGGGCCCCGGGUACAGUAACUUCACUGUUGAGAUGCCCUGGGAGCCGCUGGCUGGGUCAGCCAUAAAACCCCCGACAUAGGCCUUCCUGUCCGCCCCCGGCGGGGAGGGAGACCGCCUAAUGUUGACCUCGGAUCAGGUAGGACUACCCGCUGAACUUAAGCAUAUCAAUAAGCGGAGGA